rnacentral:misc_RNA from 1 species
UCCGGUUUAUCACCGGCAGUCCCCUAUGCACCACCUGUGAAGGUGUCCCGAAGGAAAACCGUGUUUCCACGGCGGUCACCUACAUGUCAAGCCCAGGUAAGGUUCUUCGCGUUGCGUCGAAUUAAACCACACGCUCCGCUGCUUGUGCGGGCCCCCGUCAAUUCCUUUGAGUUUUAGCCUUGCGGCCGUAGUCCCCAGGCGGAGUACUUAUCGCGUUAGCUGCGGCACCGAGGGGGUCGAUACCCCCGACACCUAGUACUCAUCGUUUACAGCGUGGACUAC